CAGAUACAAAGACCUCAACAUGCCAUCUAACUGUGGAGCUGAAAAUCCAGAGGCUGUUUUUGUA
rnacentral:snoRNA from 1 species